GAUGAACGCUGGCGGCGUGCUUAACACAUGCAAGUCGAACGAUGAAGCCCAGCUUGCUGGGUGGAUUAGUGGCGAACGGGUGAGUAACACGUGAGUAACCUGCCCUUAACUCUGGGAUAAGCCUGGGAAACUGGGUCUAAUACCGGAUAGGAGCGUCCACCGCAUGGUGGGUGUUGGAAAGAUUUAUCGGUUUUGGAUGGACUCGCGGCCUAUCAGCUUGUUGGUGAGGUAUUGGCUCACCAAGGCGACGACGGGUAGCCGGCCUGAGAGGGUGACCGGCCACACUGGGACUGAGACACGGCCCAGACUCCUACGGGAGGCAGCAGUGGGGAAUAUUGCACAAUGGGCGCAAGCCUGAUGCAGCGACGCCGCGUGAGGGAUGACGGCCUUCGGGUUGUAAACCUCUUUCAGUAGGGAAGAAGCGAAAGUGACGGUACCUGCAGAAGAAGCACCGGCUAACUACGUG
rnacentral:rRNA from 1 species